rnacentral:rRNA from 1 species
UAAGGGAUAUUGCGCCAAUGGGCGAAAGCCUGACGCAGCAACGCCGCGUGCGGGAAGAAGGCCUUCGGGUUGUAAACCGCUUUUCUAGGGGAAGAGGGAGGACGGUACCCUGGGAAUAAGUCUCGGCUAACUACGUGCCAGCAGCCGCGGUAAAACGUAGGAGGCGAGCGUUAUCCGGAUUUACUGGGUGUAAAGCGCGUGCAGGCGGUUUAGCAAGUCGUGCGUGAAAGCGCUCUGGCUCAACCGGGCGAGGACGUGCGGAACUGCUGAACUGGAGGCAGGUAGAGGCGUGUGGAAUUCCGGGUGUAGUGGUGAAAUGCGUAGAGAUCCGGAGGAACACCAGUGGCGAAGGCGACGCGCUGGGCCUGACCUGACGCUAAGACGCGAAAGCAUGGGGAGCGAACGG